ensembl:lncRNA
AUUGGCACGAGUGUCGCAGGAUAAUGUGUUUGCUGCAGAUGCCAUUUGAAAAUAUAGGCAGUGUAAGCACUGUAGAAUCUAAUUAUUUCUUUGCAAAACCUAAUUAGGCAUUAAAAAAGGUUAACGCCAGCGCCUGAAACGUUUUUGUUUAAUAAUCCCAUUACUGACGGCUCAUCAUGUAUAAAAUGGUGCAGGAGGACUCUAAGUUUCCACUUGUUAAAGGGAAUCUCUGAGAAAUAGUCGCAGACUUUUUGACACUAUCUGCGAUUGGGAAUUAGGGCUUGUAAUUAAACUGCGGGGACUCAACUCAGCACACAGACGCUUCCUACCAGGGAGGGAGUGUGAUGCUAACAAUGGGCCUGGAGCCAAAACCUAUUGACACAGAAGGCAGAGGGAAUCUACCAGAAAGCUGACUUUUUACGUGGCCCCGCUGACCCGAGCUAUCACGGCGCUGUGGAGACGACUGGGCCGCCCUGUCCGGAGUCCAACCCCCCCCCCACCCCACGGGGGCCAAAGGGCAGAGUCCGAGGCCCGGGAAUGCCACCACCAGCUGCUGGCGGUGACACCGGUCACAAAGAGGGCUUGGUGAGCAAUGCUUCUUUCUGUGGGUUGUCAGCGUUGUGACAGUGCUGGCUUGACAUUUAUUUACUCUCUCUGGACCCCCAAACGGUCAGUUUGGUUUAAAUAGUGAGCCACCGAGUUGAAUGUGCUUCUAACAUCUCGGACCGUUACUGUAAAUCUUUGGAAUUAAACUCCAGCAGCUUAUUUGCUAAAGUCGUUUUCUAUGUUUUUUUGGAUCAGUUAUUUUUCAUAUGAAAGUAAAAAGGACACAUUAUGGUUUCACCGUUUGACCGCUUGGACUGCUGAUCUGGACCAAAAUCCAAGUUUGACUUAUGCAAAAUAUAUAUAUAUAUAUAUAUAUAAUUUGUUGUUGUUGCCAGGCAUAUGUACAACACCAGGUCUGAGGAUAGCAUGAAAAUAAUAGAAUUCCUCACUUAUAACUCCAGACCUGAUGAUUAAAAGUCUUCAAUAUUGGUAUAACAACACCUAUAAUAAAUUAAAAAACAAUUAAAACUGUAUUUUUUUCCAAUUAGAAAGAACAAAAGGAAUAUUCCCAACCCGGCAAACCCAAACUGUCUCAUUGAUGUUGCAUAACAACAAAUAAAUCAAUGACAAGUUAAAUGAACCCCUGGAACCGGCUGCUUUGUACCCAAAAUAUCAAUGUUGGUAACCAAUCCACUAAGGCUUUUUUAAUGGGAUUAGAUUGAAAUGAAUGCACGCAUAUUAAAUAAAAUAGUUUUAACCAGGACAUCUUUUGCAAGUGUUUCAACAAAAUAUUAAUAUAUUAAAAACUUACCAUGUCCAAAUGUGUUCUUGUCUAUUGGGUUUAAACUGAUUUCUGACGCAUUAUUAAACGCACAAUGAAAUUAUAGCCAUUAUUACAACACAUACAUAAUAAGUGGUAAUAAUGCUUCUCCAGUGACACCUCAUUUCGCGUUUAUUGACGAUAAUGUGAGUAACGCCAUCACAAAUGUUUUGUAAACUCGUUCAAACCAACACGAACACGAGCGCUUAAUGUUGAUCGCCAUGCGGUCACGGCAGGUUGAGGGUCUAGCUUUUAGAAACUAGAUCCUUCAGCCCACGUCCCGACGCUCUUAAAUUCAAACGUUUGUCUUUGCGCACAGCGCCGCGCGGUUAACACUGGCCCCAUUACGCGAUGUCGUUUGUGCCUCUCGGUGUUAUUUGGACAAUGUUUGGCCGUUUACCCGGCCUGCGUCUGCGCGCUCAGAGGAGGUCUCGACAGAAAUUGAUACUAAUUGCGCGGACUGUACACUGCUGGCUGGUGGAGCGCCUGCAGGCAGUUGGAGGACCUGCUUGUCACCGCCUAAUUUGACAAGGGCUUGUCUGUCCUGGGAGCAGCUGGUCCUAAGCACUGGCGCACAAUCGCUAUCCUGACACGGCCUCCACCCGCCCGAAGGAGUUUCGAGGGGAAAAACGCCGUUAAAGGGGAGAUUUAUUGAAUCUCCCCUUUGGGUGAUGCUGUAUUAAGUACAGGCAAUAUAGGCUCAUUUCCACGGGUGCAAAAGGGGAGCCCCGCUCCUCGGUAUUAAUAACAGAAGGAGCCAAUUAGGGGUGGACAGGUGACUUUUUGGCAUUAUGAAUCACCGCAAACGAGGCGUUGCGCGCGGGGUGGAUGAACGCUAUAUGGGUGCAGCGCUGUUCUGGAGUCGGUUUCGAGGAAUCCUUACUUCUCGCGUGCUGCGCGACACACAAUGGGGCGAUGUGCGUAAAUCGGAUGAAUGCAGGGUGUGUGUGUGUGUGUGUGUGUGUGUGUUGCGCCAGACAUUCAGCCGGCUCCCACGCCCCGGCACAAAUGACAUCAACACUCACAGUAAACAUAAUCAAUUCACUAUUCUGCCCUGUUUCUAUUAGUCCGCGUCUUUUAUAGCUGAAUGCAUCAAGAGGGGAGGGGGGGGGGGGGGGGUUUCCUGCACUUUCCCACUGCCUGUAAAGAAACGCUGCUUUUCGGAGCCUUUUGAACUGAAAAUCGUGAUUUUCUUUCCCCCUGGUGUUCUCCGGACGCGCUCUUUUCUUUCUGCGGAACAAUGACAACACUGGAGCGCCCCGCCGGUGCGCCACAGUUGGGGAUCCCCCGGAUUGUUUUGGACAUCUUUGGAUUUCAUCAAUCAAAAUGACUGCAGUUUUCCAUAAAAAUGCUGAAUUUGGUGCUGGAACCGAGCGGGCAAG